GAUGAACGCUGGCGGCGUGCCUAACACAUGCAAGUCGAACGGAAAGACGCUGCGUUUGUGGGGUGCUCGAGUGGCGAGCGGGUGUGUAACACGUGAGUAACCUCCCCUUGACUUUGGGGUAACAUCAGGAAACUGGGGCUAAUACCGCAUAGGAGCUCCUGCUGCAUGGUGUGGGUUGGAAAGUUUCGGCGGUUGGGGAUGGACUCGCGGCUUAUCAGCUUGUUGGUGGGGUAGUGGCUUACCAAGGGUUUGACGGGUAGCCGGCCUUAGAGGUUGAACGGGCACAAGGCGACUGCGAUAGGCAGCAGUCGCGAACGUGAGGCAGUGGGCGGAAGCAUGACGCAGUGGGGCGGCGUGUGAGACGAAGGCGUUCGGUGCGUAAUGCCCUCUUUUGGGGUAAGAACCGCUUUCGCCUGAGACGAGGCGUGAGUGACGGUACCGGAUAAAGAAGCACCGGCUAACUACGUG
rnacentral:rRNA from 1 species